UACGUAGGGGGCUAGCGUUGUCCGGAUUUAUUGGGCGUAAAGAGCGUGUAGGCGGCCAGGUAGGUCCGGUGUGAAAACUCGAGGCUUAACCUCGAGAUGUCAUCGGAAACCAUCUGGCUAGAGUCCGGAAGAGGAGAGUGGAAUUCCUGGAGUAGCGGUGAAAUGCGCAGAUAUCAGGAAGAACACCAAUGGCGAAAGCAGCUCUCUGGCCUGUAACUGACGCUGAGGCGCGAAAGCGUGGGGAGCAAACAGG
rnacentral:rRNA from 1 species